rnacentral:misc_RNA from 1 species
GCCGACUGUUCAAUUUGGAGGAUCCGAUACCAAUCCUUUUCUGAUCCCACUGUAUUGCUCUGAGCUGAACAGUGGACAUUACAGACAGCAAGUAGCUGCGAUAUAUUCUCUAGCUGAGGGUACAGCCGUUCAGCUUUCUGUGCCACCUUUUGAGCCCCUAAAAAGUCAUUACUCUGCAUUUUCUUCUCAGCCAGCUCUUUA